rnacentral:rRNA from 1 species
AUUGAACGCUGGCGGCAGGCCUAACACAUGCAAGUCGAACGGUAACAGGAGACAGCUUGCUGUUUCGCUGACGAGUGGCGGACGGGUGAGUAAUGUCUGGGAAACUGCCUGAUGGAGGGGGAUAACUACUGGAAACGGUAGCUAAUACCGCAUAACGUCGCAAGACCAAAGAGGGGGACCUUCGGGCCUCUUGCCAUCGGAUGUGCCCAGAUGGGAUUAGCUAGUAGGUGGGGUAACGGCUCACCUAGGCGACGAUCCCUAGCUGGUCUGAGAGGAUGACCAGCCACACUGGAACUGAGACACGGUCCAGACUCCUACGGGAGGCAGCAGUGGGGAAUAUUGCACAAUGGGCGCAAGCCUGAUGCAGCCAUGCCGCGUGUAUGAAGAAGGCCUUCGGGUUGUAAAGUACUUUCAGCGGGGAGGAAGGGAGUAAAGUUAAUACCUUUACUCAUUGACGUUACCCGCAGAAGAAGCACCGGCUAACUCCG